CAGCACUUUGGGAGGCUGAGGUGGGAGGAUCACUUGAGUCCAGGAAUUCAAGACCAGCCUGGGCAACGUAGUGAGAUCCUGUCUGUAAAAAAAAAUUACUAUUGAAAUGAGGUUUCUGUCACUCAGGCUGAAGUGCAGUGGUCCAAUCAUGCUUACUGCCACCUCAGCCUCCUGGGCUCAAGUGCUUCUCCCACCUCAGCCUCCUGAGUAGCUGGGACCACAGGCAUGUACCGCCACCACUGGCUGACUUUUAAAAUUUUAUUUGUAGAGCCAGGCACUGUGGCUCAUGCCUGGAAUCCCAGCACUUUGGGAGGGUGAGGCUGGUGGAUCACUUAAGGUCAGGAGUUCAUGACCAGCCUAGCCACUACGGUGAACCCUGUCUCUACUAAAAAUAGAAAAAUUAGCUGGGUGUGGUGGUGCACACCUGUAAUCCCAGCUACUAGGGAGGCUGAAGUAGGAGAAUCACUUGACCCAGGAGAUGGAGGUGGCAGUGAGCCAAGAUCGUGCCACUGUACUCCAGCCUGGGCAACAGGGCAAGACUCUGUCUCAAAAAAAAAAAAAAAAAAAAUGUGUAGCGAUGGAGUUUUGCUGUGUUGCUCAGGCUAGUCUCAAACUCCUGAACUCAAGUGAUCCUCCCACCUUGGCCUCCCAACGUGCUGGGAUUACAGGUUUAAGCCACUGUGCCUGGCCUUAAAAAUUGUUAACUAUUAAAAAUUACUAUAUAAGCUGGGUGCGGUGGCUCAUACCUACAUUUCCUACUACUAGGGAGGCUAAGGUGGAAGGAUCCCUUGAGCUCAGGAGUAUGAGGCUGCAGUGAGCGACGAUUGUGACCCUGCACCCCCAUUGCACUCCAGCCUGGGCAACAGAGUGAGACUUCAUCUUUAAAAAACCCACUAUAUAAGUAUAUUAAAUUAAUAAUUAACAUAGAACUUAAAAGUGAAUUAAAAAUAAGAAUAAUGCUCUUAAAUUGAUUAUUUUUUUAUGUCCUAAAGAUUUGCUUAGUGCAUUCAACAAUAACAUGAUCUGGAGAAAGGCCCCAUUUUGGAUUCUACAAGGUCUGAAUUAUAGUCUCUUCCUUGCCACUAACGAGCUGACUUUGAGAAAAUCCUCUUCACACUUUCAUCAUCUGUCAAAAAGAGAUAAUAAUUCUGAUUACUUCCAUAAUAGCAUUUCUAGUGAUAGACGUGGAGACUAGGAGAGAAUAUACCAAAUUGCAAUGUAUCCAAGUACUCUGAGAGACCAACUCCUACAGAUCCAGGAAGGGUGCCAUUCCCUCUAAGGACACUACUGAUAAGAUCUGGCCCACCCAGGAUCAUCUUUCUAUCUUCAAGUGAACUGAUUUGGGACAUUAUUCACAUCUACAAAAUCCCUUCACAGGAGCACCUAAGUUUCGUGUUUGAACAGCUGGAAAAAGAUUCUAUGUAAAUUAUUGAUUCCUCUGGAAAAGCCUCCUCAAUUUUCCGGAUUAGUCCAUCUCCAUUUGACUUGACUCAAGUUUCUACCUCCACUAUGUCACUGAAACUGCGUGGUACAUUACCGAAGACCAAAGACCAAAUCCAUGACCAUUUACUCAUCUUUCAAGACUCAGAAGCCAGCUCUGGUACCAAGCCUUUUCUGAUCUCCCAGAUGAAUAACCAACUCAAGGAGAUGAGGACAUUGGCCAAAGCCACACAACUAGUACAACCUACCAGUACUGGUCAAGACAUGGUUAAAAAGCAGCACCAGGUGGUCAAUUAAGUUUCAGUUAUCAUCGAGGAGGUGUUUACAAGCACAAGAGAUAGGAUCUCACUCUGUCACCCAGGCUGGAGUGCAGUGGCAUGAUUGAACUCCUGGGCUCAAGUGAUCCUCUGCCUCAAACUUCUGAGUAGCUGGGACUACAGGUGUGUUCCACCAUGCCGAGGUAAUUGUUUAUAUUUUCUUAAAGAUGUGGUCUUGCUCAGUUGCCCAAGCUAGUCUGAAACUUUUGGCCUCAAGUGAUCCUCU